rnacentral:rRNA from 1 species
UACGAAGGGUGCAAGCGUUACUCGGAAUUACUGGGCGUAAAGCGUGCGUAGGCGGUUUGUUAAGUCUGCCGUGAAAGCCCCGGGCUCAACCUGGGAAUUGCGGUGGAUACUGGCAAGCUAGAGUACGGUAGAGGGUGGUGGAAUUCCCGGUGUAGCAGUGAAAUGCGUAGAGAUCGGGAGGAACAUCUGUGGCGAAGGCGGCCACCUGGACCAGUACUGACGCUGAGGCACGAAAGCGUGGGGAGCAAACAGG